UACGUAGGGUGCGAGCGUUAAUCGGAAUUACUGGGCGUAAAGCGUGCGCAGGCGGCUUUGCAAGGCAGAUGUGAAAUCCCCGGGCUCAACCUGGGAACUGCAUUUGUGACUGCAAGGCUAGAGUACGGCAGAGGGGGAUGGAAUUCCGCGUGUAGCAGUGAAAUGCGUAGAUAUGCGGAGGAACACCAAUGGCGAAGGCAAUCCCCUGGGCCUGUACUGACGCUCAUGCACGAAAGCGUGGGGAGCAAACAGG
rnacentral:rRNA from 1 species